GCUCAGGAUGAACGCUAGCUACAGGCUUAACACAUGCAAGUCGAGGGGCAUCAGGAAGAAAGCUUGCUUUCUUUGCUGGCGACCGGCGCACGGGUGAGUAACACGUAUCCAACCUGCCCUUUACUCGGGGAUAGCCUUUCGAAAGAAAGAUUAAUACCCGAUAGCAUAAUGAUUCCGCAUGGUUUCAUUAUUAAAGGAUUCCGGUAAAGGAUGGGGAUGCGUUCCAUUAGGUUGUUGGUGAGGUAACGGCCCACCAAGCCUUCGAUGGAUAGGGGUUCUGAGAGGAAGGUCCCCCACAUUGGAACUGAGACACGGUCCAAACUCCUACGGGAGGCAGCAGUGAGGAAUAUUGGUCAAUGGGCGCUAGCCUGAACCAGCCAAGUAGCGUGAAGGAUGAAGGCUCUAUGGGUCGUAAACUUCUUUUAUAUAAGAAUAAAGUGCAGUAUGUAUACUGUUUUGUAUGUAUUAUAUGAAUAAGGAUCGGCUAACUCCGUGCCAGCAGCCGCGGUAAUACGGAGGAUCCGAGCGUUAUCCGGAUUUAUUGGGUUUAAAGGGAGCGUAGGUGGACUGGUAAGUCAGUUGUGAAAGUUUGCGGCUCAACCGUAAAAUUGCAGUUGAUACUGUCAGUCUUGAGUACAGUAGAGGUGGGCGGAAUUCGUGGUGUAGCGGUGAAAUGCUUAGAUAUCACGAAGAACUCCGAUUGCGAAGGCAGCUCACUGGACUGCAACUGACACUGAUGCUCGAAAGUGUGGGUAUCAAACAGGAUUAGAUACCCUGGUAGUCCACACAGUAAACGAUGAAUACUCGCUGUUUGCGAUAUACAGUAAGCGGCCAAGCGAAAGCAUUAAGUAUUCCACUUGGGGAGUACGCCGGCAACGGUGAAACUCAAAGGAAUUGACGGGGGCCCGCACAAGCGGAGGAACAUGUGGUUUAAUUCGAUGAUACGCGAGGAACCUUACCCGGGCUUAAAUUGCAGUGGAAUGAUGUGGAAACAUGUCAGUGAGCAAUCACCGCUGUGAAGGUGCUGCAUGGUUGUCGUCAGCUCGUGCCGUGAGGUGUCGGCUUAAGUGCCAUAACGAGCGCAACCCUUAUCUUUAGUUACUAACAGGUUAUGCUGAGGACUCUGGAGAGACUGCCGUCGUAAGAUGUGAGGAAGGUGGGGAUGACGUCAAAUCAGCACGGCCCUUACGUCCGGGGCUACACACGUGUUACAAUGGGGGGUACAGAAGGCAGCUAGCGGGUGACCGUAUGCUAAUCCCAAAAGCCUCUCUCAGUUCGGAUCGAAGUCUGCAACCCGACUUCGUGAAGCUGGAUUCGCUAGUAAUCGCGCAUCAGCCACGGCGCGGUGAAUACGUUCCCGGGCCUUGUACACACCGCCCGUCAAGCCAUGGGAGCCGGGGGUACCUGAAGGACGUAACCGCAAGGAUCGUCCUAGGGU
rnacentral:rRNA from 1 species